GGCUCGGUAGCUUAUUUGGUAGAGCGCUUGCAUACAAGAGUCCUGGGUCCGAAUCCCAGCCGAGCAC
rnacentral:tRNA from 1 species